rnacentral:lncRNA from 1 species
GCAAGCUAAGUGAACUAAAUCAAACGCACCCAACAUUGCCACCAGGUGCAUGCUGAUGCUGCUAAUGCAAACAUGCUCAUGGUGGAACUUUUACCCAGGGAGAAGUGGACAGGUUACAUUUCACAUUGAGAAUAACCGAGCGGAGAAGUUGAACUUGGAGCAGAUUGUGGAGGACUCAAACUCACAAAAUGACGUUCAGACCGAUAACAGCUGAGAUCCCAUCGGCGCUGAAAAAUGAAAUGAAGUGCGACUUCACGUCCAGAUCGCUGCUCUUGUCAACACCACAGAUGAACAGCUGGAGGAACCCUGUCCACUUCAUUACUGGGCACAAAGAGUCUGAGGGCCAGUUUGAUGGGGUGCUGACAGUUUAA